AUUAAUCCUUAACGUUUAUAUAAAACUUUGGAGCGAUCAGCGAAUCUCAAUCUGUCCAACCCGACUGAACUAACCCUUUCAAUCUGUCCAACCCGACUGAACUAGCCCAAGUAAUCAAACAUUUUGAGCCGACGUGUGAUAUUUGGUGGAGAGAUGGGGAUCCGAAAAUCUGAAUUUGGCGGACGUGAGUCGGGGGAUUCCAAUGAGAGUUGCAGUAUUCCUAGCAUUACUAUUCCAAAGCUAUCUCUCACUCUACUCUCUCCCUCUCCAAACCCUAACCCUAGUCUUCUGCAUAUCCUGGGUUCGGCCGGCACUGUCUCCAUUCUUCGAACGGCGGCUACUAUUUUGCUAAUUCGGAAAUCAGCCCCUGAUUUUUUGUUGAAAUCAGCACUUGGUGGUUCUGUGAUUACCUCUUCAAGGUGGUUCUGAUUGGAGACUUAGGUGUUGGCAUGUCCAUUUGCUUUCAAGAUUCACUAGGAAUGAGUUCAGCCUCGAAUCCAAGUCUACAAUCGGUGUUGAGUUCGCUACCAGAAGCUUGAAUGUUGAUGGCAAAGUCAUCAAAGCUUAUAUUUGGGACCCAAGAAAGGGGUCAAAGUGGGAUUUGGUGCAAAGGGUAGGUGUGCAAAGUGUAAUUUACCCUUAAUUUAAAGUAAAUCUCCGCCUUUGAACCUUGUUGUUCCUCCUUCCACUGCAAGGCCAUAGACGAUCCACACAGAUCUCGUUGCAGCUCUUCGUUGUUGACAGAUUCACCAAGGAUUUGACGAAUCUCGUUGCAGGUGGCAAGUAAGAAGGUGGUGAUGCCUAAGAUGUUCUUUGCAAGAUGUUUUGAUUAAUGUUUUGUAUUAUCUUGAAGAUUAUGCUUCUUAGUUGUGAUUCAUUUAUUUUGUAUAUUUCGGCUUGAGAAGUCUUUUGAUCAAGAUGUAAUAUGUACUCCAU